rnacentral:rRNA from 1 species
GACGAACGCUGGCGGCGUGCUUAACACAUGCAAGUCGAACGGAAAGGCUUCUUCGGAGGUACUCGAGUGGCGAACGGGUGAGUAACACGUGGGCAAUCUGCCCUGCACUUCGGGAUAAGCCUGGGAAACUGGGUCUAAUACCGGAUAGGACCUCAAGACGCAUGUCUUCUGGUGGAAAGCUUUUGCGGUGUGGGAUGGGCCCGCGGCCUAUCAGCUUGUUGGUGGGGUGACGGCCUACCAAGGCGACGACGGGUAGCCGGCCUGAGAGGGUGUCCGGCCACACUGGGACUGAGAUACGGCCCAGACUCCUACGGGAGGCAGCAGUGGGGAAUAUUGCACAAUGGGCGCAAGCCUGAUGCAGCGACGCCGCGUGGGGGAUGACGGCCUUCGGGUUGUAAACCUCUUUCACCAUCGACGAAGGUCCGGGUUUUCUCGGAUUGACGGUAGGUGGAGAAGAAGCACCGGCCAACUACGUGCCAGCAGCCGCGGUAAUACGUAGGGUGCGAGCGUUGUCCGGAAUUACUGGGCGUAAAGAGCUCGUAGGUGGUUUGUCGCGUUGUUCGUGAAAUCUCACGGCUUAACUGUGAGCGUGCGGGCGAUACGGGCAGACUAGAGUACUGCAGGGGAGACUGGAAUUCCUGGUGUAGCGGUGGAAUGCGCAGAUAUCAGGAGGAACACCGGUGGCGAAGGCGGGUCUCUGGGCAGUAACUGACGCUGAGGAGCGAAAGCGUGGGGAGCGAACAGGAUUAGAUACCCUGGUAGUCCACGCCGUAAACGGUGGGUACUAGGUGUGGGUUUCCUUCCUUGGGAUCCGUGCCGUAGCUAACGCAUUAAGUACCCCGCCUGGGGAGUACGGCCGCAAGGCUAAAACUCAAAGGAAUUGACGGGGGCCCGCACAAGCGGCGGAGCAUGUGGAUUAAUUCGAUGCAACGCGAAGAACCUUACCUGGGUUUGACAUGCACAGGACGCGUCUAGAGAUAGGCGUUCCCUUGUGGCCUGUGUGCAGGUGGUGCAUGGCUGUCGUCAGCUCGUGUCGUGAGAUGUUGGGUUAAGUCCCGCAACGAGCGCAACCCUUGUCUCAUGUUGCCAGCGGGUAGUGCCGGGGACUCGUGAGAGACUGCCGGGGUCAACUCGGAGGAAGGUGGGGAUGACGUCAAGUCAUCAUGCCCCUUAUGUCCAGGGCUUCACACAUGCUACAAUGGCCGGUACAAAGGGCUGCGAUGCCGUAAGGUUAAGCGAAUCCUUUUAAAGCCGGUCUCAGUUCGGAUUGGGGUCUGCAACUCGACCCCAUGAAGUCGGAGUCGCUAGUAAUCGCAGAUCAGCAACGCUGCGGUGAAUACGUUCCCGGGCCU